UGAUGUCAUUCAGAACUACCCAGA
rnacentral:piRNA from 1 species